rnacentral:lncRNA from 1 species
UUUGGAUUUUCAUCCAGGGCAGGUUGAGCCAGUACUAGUUUUAUAUUGAGAAAUGAAGUAGAAGACUGGGGAGUGAAACAUAAAGCAAUGUACACCAACACAGCCAAUCUCCCUUUCCUAGGGAUCUGGUUCUGCACACACCUAGUACUGCCAGGUCUUAAAAGCUUUCCAAAUAAUUCUGACGUCCCAAACUGGUUUAAAAAUGGGAACGACAGUCUCAAAUUAUGCAACUCUCUCCAUAUAUAGUCACCAUCUAAUGAUAAAGUUUGAGACAGAAUCUUCUGUUGGCAUGCCCAUUCCGCGUUCCUGAGGCUUAGGGUGUAUCAAAGAGGAGCUGGACUCUAACUGGGAAGGGGCUUACUGCUGGCAAUAGAACAAAAUCCUUAGUUAUUUUUACAGUAAUUUUCAAAGAAUAUCAUAUUUUCAUUCUUUUUGGAAACUAUAAUUACAUCUUUCCUCUUUUCCUUGCCUCUCUUCAGACAGUCUCAUGUAUACCCUCUACCCCAGUGUCUAGUAUCUUUUACGUUCAUGACCUCUUUUGUUUGAAAACUGGAUUUUAAAAUAUAACCUUCCCUUUUCCUAAUUAAAAUUUGCACUAAUUGUAAAAUAGAUGAAAGAGGCGUCAGGAUGGAUGAACAGGGCUGUAUACAUGCUUUCUCGAUCCUAUAGUCCUCUACUAGAUUAUCUGGGCGCUCCAGAGGGUACAGUUGUAACUACUGUUUGACUGUCAUUUAUCAGUCCUUUCACUUAUGAACGGGAGGUUAAAUGGAAUGACAUCACUGGCCCCUGAAAAAGCCCUGUUAGAACAGGAGUCCUCACAGCUAGUGGGAUGCACUUUACUUUAAUGUAUUUAUUUGCUUCUGCCAAGAGAGGGCAUUAAAAGAUGCAGUGGGAAGCCACUGUCUCCAUUAACAUUUGAACAACAAUAUGCUGUUCCUAAACUUAGAUGUAUAAUCACUCACAUAAAUGGAACCAUACAUGUAAAAUUAAAUUAGCUUUAUUAUGCCAUUAAAGGAACCAUUUGAUUUUGUCAGUUGGGAAAAAUCUUAUAAAAUCGGAUGUUGAAUUAAUUAAGUAGAGUAAUAUAAUGAAACUUCAGUGUGUGAAAUCUGAUCUGGAUAAGGCCCUGUAGAGGAGGCAAUGUGCUAGCUUACAUGAAAUCUCAGAGAUUCUCUAAUAAACAUCUAAUGGGAAAACACAGGUUGUAAGGUAUUUUAUUCCUUAUACCAUUGAAAGACUAAUCCACAUGACAAAAAGAAUAAUAAAAUUUGAGGGAUAAAGAGGUACCUCAGUUGGUAAAGUGCCUGUUGAGCAAGCUAGGAGGAACUAAACCCUCCCCGGCACCCACCGAAAGUAUUAAAAUGCGUAUUUUUUUCAGCUGAUAGAAUUUAGAUAAUGCAUUUGAAACUUGUUUUUUUUUUUUUUUUUUCAUGACAGCAUUGAAGGAUAUUUGAAAAGAAAAUAUGUCACUUAAUGGGAUAGAAUUUAUUAUAGCACUAGUGGCAUUUCCUAAAGAGCAAAACUUGAAUAAAAAAGAUAAAAUAAAUAUUGAAUAUUUUUAAAUAGCAGGUGGCAUUGGGCAGAGAAACAGUUUUCCUGUCAGUAGCAUUCGUUUUUAAAAAGGCACAUUCUAUUUGGAGCAGACCUUUGGAGGCAUUCUAAAAUGAAAUCCUGCAUUUAUUGAAGGAUGUAAAAUAAUGAGAUUAUAUAGCUCUCACAAAAUGAACCAAGGAUGAUGAGUGGUGCCGCCAAACACACCGACAAGGAUGGUGUCUGCUUUACCUGGUAGGAAGACGUUUGCCUUGAAAUCUAUGGAAGGAUUCUGUGCAGUCUGGGAGAAGGCUCUAUCUCCAAAUCACCAAGUGAGGUAAAAAUAGCAAGCUGUUUGGUUAAGACAGCCAGCCAUCUGUUCUACGGCAUCAGAAGUUGGGAGACUGAGGCUGACUCCAGGGAGGCUCCUUGGGCUCAUAAGUGUUAGUAAAAUGGCUGCAUUACAACUCAUAGUCUCCUGGGUCUUCUUAAGUUUCUCAAUCAUUUCAGCUUGUUCAGACUUGAAGGAGAUUGUUAUAAAUUCUCCAUUCCAAGCAGGAUUCUGUGCCCAGUCCAGAGAGACAACAAAGAAAAAACCACUCUGUAGCUAUAAUUUUCAUUAUCAGGUGGGAAAAUGAAGCAACAACAACAACAAUAGCAACAAACUGCCAAGUUUGGGCUUCUCUUUGGUCAAUGAAGUCAAAACCCUCAGUGUCCAGAAUGUAUGUUAGGUACUCAUCAGGUAUUUAAUGUACAGCCCCAUUUGAGAACUUCUGCUCUACAAUAGAAGGAGUGGUGCUUUCUGAGACCCUAGUAGAGGGGUCCUCUGCUAAAAGCCCACUGUAACAUUUGGCAAAUCUGACUUCAACCCAUUUUACUGAAGGGUAUGGAGUUCUUGACCCCUGGGGGAAAAUGCAUCAAUUCCUUUUGUGCACAAAAUGAUUUCCUAGAGUAUAAGUGAUCAUUUUUAUCUUUUUUAAAAUUUGGAAGACAUAUUUCCAAGAAUAUGUCAGGUUUUUGGCUGGCAGGAAGAAGUCACAAUCUGGUUAGAGAAAGAGAGUGAGCCAGUGUAUUAUAUAAGAAGAACAUCUCUUAGACUGAGUUCUGUGAUUCUGGUGUGCAAAGAAUAUUUUUCAAGAUAAAUCCAACACGUAGAAUAUUUUCUGCCCAGAGCUCAAGUGGCUGCUAAAAAUUUUGUGUGUUCAGUAUCAUAAUUCUUCUCUUCACAAG